UACGUAGGUGGCAAGCGUUGUCCGGAUUUACUGGGCGUAAAGGGAGCGUAGGCGGAUUUUUAAGUGAGAUGUGAAAUACUCGGGCUCAACUUGAGUGCUGCAUUUCAAACUGGAAGUCUAGAGUGCAGGAGAGGAGAAUGGAAUUCCUAGUGUAGCGGUGAAAUGCGUAGAGAUUAGGAAGAACACCAGUGGCGAAGGCGAUUCUCUGGACUGUAACUGACGCUGAGGCUCGAAAACGUGGGGAGCAAACAGG
rnacentral:rRNA from 1 species